AAGAAAGUGACUGCCGCCCCGCAUAGGGGCAACGCUAAUAGACCGACGCGAAAACAGGAAAUCCAUAGAAGCCCACGAGCAAGAAGAAGAAAAAAAGGUCAUUCCGCUUCCUCAAGCGCCUCCU
rnacentral:sRNA from 1 species